rnacentral:lncRNA from 1 species
UUAUGGAUAUACAACCUCAAAAAAUGAAAAUAGUAUAUGAUUCAUUUUUUCAAUUUAUGUAUGGAUUUAAAAAAACAUUAUCGCUUAACUUUUAUCAGAUAUUCUCUGAAUGUGAGUUCUAAAGCAAUAAGUCUGUUGUUGAAUCUAAAUAUCCUUGUAAUCAUGCACAUGAGUGUUUCUCAUCUUAUACAAAAAUUAAUUAUUUAGUCAUUCUUGUCUUACAUUCAAAACUAUUUUCUUUAUUUCUUUAAAGAUAAGUUUUAAAAGAACAUCAACUAUGUAAAGUAUAAAUGAAGUAAUAUAAAAUUUCUUGAAAGAUCUUUAUAUAGA